rnacentral:misc_RNA from 1 species
GUAUUCAUUCUCUAAGCUUAGUUUACUAGGCAUAGAGAGAUUUGAGGCGUCGCACUUACCCUGCGUGCUUUUAAAACUAUAGUUGCUGGAUUCCGCCUAGCUGAAAAGUAUUUGUAUAGAGCUUCGGUUCUUCUUUUGCUUAGUAGGAUAGAUGGUAAAUGUCUGGCACUCACCUAUUAAAACUUUGGACUUGUGUCUAGAGUUUGAA